UUAUAAGAAGUAAAAAUUACAUUUUAAUUUCGAACUAAAAUUAGAUCUAAAAUGAUCCUUAUAAA
rnacentral:tRNA from 1 species